UACGAAGGGAGCGAGCGUUGUUCGGAAUCACUGGGCUUAAAGCGUACGUAGGCGGAUUUACAAGUCAGGAGUGAAAUCCCAGGGCUUAACCCUGGAAUUGCUUUUGAAACUGUGAGUCUGGAAUCCGGUAGAGGUUGGCGGAACUCCGAGUGUAGAGGUGAAAUUCGCAGAUAUUCGGAAGAACACCAGUGGCGAAGGCGGCCAACUGGACCGGUAUUGACGCUGAGGUAAGAAAGCGUGGGUAGCAAACAGG
rnacentral:rRNA from 1 species